UUUUUUUUCUUUUUCUUUUUAAAGGAAUUGAAGAGCUGCUGAUAGUCAUGGCCUUGGCAAAAAUGAAGCUCUUCCUGUAGUCCGCCACUAGAAAUAGCAUCUCUACCUUCGUCCAGAGACAGUGGACUCCAGAGACAGUGGACUGAGAAGCAGUGGACUCCAGAGGCAGUGAAAUCCAGAGACAGUGGACUCUAGAGACUGUGGAAUCCAGAGGCAGUAAAAUCUAGAGACAGUGGAAUCCAGAGGCAGUGGACUCCAGAGACAGUGGACUCCAGAGACUGUGGACUCCAGAGACAGUGGACUCUAGAGACUGUGGAAUCCAGAGGCAGUGGAAUCCAGAGGCAGUGGAAUCCAGAGACAGUGAAAUCCAGAGGCAGUGGAA